rnacentral:rRNA from 1 species
UACGUAGGUGGCAAGCGUUGUCCGGAUUUACUGGGCGUAAAGAGCGCGCAGGCGGCUGGUCAAGUCCGAUGUGAAAGCUCCCGGCUCAACUGGGAGAGGUCCUUGGAUACUGGCAGACUUGAGGAGGGUAGAGGAGAGUGGAAUUCCCGGUGUAGUGGUGAUAUGCGUAGAUAUCGGGAGGAACACCAGUGGCGAAGGCGGCUCUCUGGGCCCUACCUGACGCUGAGACGCGAAAGCGUGGGGAGCGAACCGG